rnacentral:rRNA from 1 species
UGAGCGUCCUAAGGUAGCGCGAUAAUUUGCUUUUCAAUUGAAGGAUGGUAUGAAAGGGUUAACGAAGAAGGUGCUGUGUCUAAAAAUUCAAUUUAAACUAACUUUAAGGUGAAGAGGCCUUUAUGUAAAAGAAGGACGACAAGACCCUAUGAAGCUUUAUCUUAAUUGGAGCUCUCAGGCUCUUAUACGAUUUUGAUGGGAGAUCAGUAGAAAUAAGUCUUCUACUAUCAUAUUAAUCUUACUAGUAUUUCCUAACUUUAUAUGUGUGGUUAGCUACUCUAGGGAUAACAGCGCAAUUUCUCCCGAAAGAUGGUAUUGGAGGGGAAGAUUGCGACCUCGAUGUUGGCUUUAGAUAUCCUAGA